UACGGGGGGAGCAAGCGUUGUUCGGAUUUACUGGGCGUAAAGGGCGCGUAGGCGGCCAGCACAAGUCAGUUGUGAAAUCUCCGAGCUUAACUCGGAAAGGUCAACUGAUACUGUGCGGCUAGAGUGCGGAAGGGGCAACUGGAAUUCUUGGUGUAGCGGUGAAAUGCGUAGAUAUGCGGAGGAACACCGAUGGCGAAGGCAAUCCCCUGGACCUGUACUGACGCUCAUGCACGAAAGCGUGGGGAGCAAACAGG
rnacentral:rRNA from 1 species